UGAGGAAUAGUUGGUCAAUGGGCGGGAGCCUGAACCAGCCAAGUCGCGUGAGGGAAGACGGUCCUAUGGAUUGUAAACCUCUUUAGGCGGGGAGCAAUGCCGGGCACGCGUGCCCGGAGGGAGAGUACCCGCAGAAUAAGCAUCGGCUAACUCCGUGCC
rnacentral:rRNA from 1 species